AUGCUGGGUGACGAAUCCAGUAGGGACUUCCAGGCACUCCUUUGUCUCAAGAACCACCUUUCUAACAAUACCAAAGCCCUCGCCUCAUGGAACAAUACCCUCCAGUAUUGCAGCUGGCCCGGUGUCACCUGUGGCAAGAAGCACGCAUCUCGCGUCACAGCACUUGACCUUGAAUCGCUAGGCCUGAAUGGCCAGAUACCACCCUGCAUCGGUAAUCUCACUUUCCUCGCAAGAAUCAACCUCUAUGAUAACUUGCUGAAUGGUGUGAUCCCGCCUGAGGUAGGUCAUCUGCGUCACCUUGUGGAGAUUUCCCUUCCAAAUAACAAUCUUAUUGGUGUAAUACCCUACUCUUUAUCUACCUGUUCUAGUCUUCAGAAAAUUGAUCUCGGAAGUAACUCCCUCCAGGGGGACAUUCCAGAUGGGUUCGGCAUGCUUCCUAAGCUUUAUGCUCUGUACGUUCCUGGCAACAAGUUGACGGGCAGUAUUCCUUACUCACUUGGAAGCAGCUCAUCACUCAACUUAUGUCGUCCUGGCAAAAAACAGCCUAACUGGGGGCAUCCCACCUCUCUUAGCAAAUAG
rnacentral:rRNA from 1 species